rnacentral:lncRNA from 1 species
ACGUUUCAAAACCCAACAAAAGUUAUAAAACCCGGACACUCAUUCAACCAUAAAUCCAAUUAUACCAAAUUUACUAAAUUUCGACGCCAAAUCAUCAUGCAAAUCUCCAAAUUUAAUUCUCCAAUUCCUAGCCCAAAACUCAUAAAACUCCACCUUAAAAACACACAAACUAGAUAGGAAAUUCAGUGGGUAAUCAAUUUAUUGAAUAAAAAUGAUUAAAAGUAGCUUACCUCAAGAAAUUACUUGGCUUACCUUAAGAAAUCAC